rnacentral:rRNA from 1 species
CCCUGUUAUUCUAUCAUAAAAUAAUAAUUCAAAGAAGCAUAACAUAAUAAAUUUGACGGUAUUAAACUUUACAAAGGAAUUUGUUUCUUAAUCGAAAAUACACGAUAAACCUUACUUAAUUUAUAUUUGUAUACCACCGUAAUAGAAAUUAUUUAAAAUUAAUUUCAUUAAAAUAUUCUUUAAAUAUCAGGUCAAGGUGCAAUUUAAUUAAGAUGAAAUGAAUUACAUUUUACAUAAACAUAUAAGAAUUGAAAUUUUCUUAAAAAAAGAAUUUGUUAGUAAAAAUUUAUUAUAAUGUUUUUUUGAAAAACUUAUUUUAAUAUGUACAUAUCGCCCG